GAUGAACGCUAGCGGCAGGCUUAACACAUGCAAGUCGCGGGGUAACGAUACAGCUUGCUGUAGGCGACGACCGGCGCACGGGUGCGUAACGCGUAUGCAACCUACCUUUUACAGGAGAAUAGCCCAGAGAAAUUUGGAUUAAUGCGCCAUAGUUUGAUAUUUUCACCUGAUUAUAUCAAUAAAGCUCCGGCGGUAAAAGAUGGGCAUGCGUGACAUUAGGUAGUUGGUGAGGUAACGGCUCACCAAGCCGACGAUGUCUAGGGGUUCUGAGAGGAUUAUCCCCCACACUGGUACUGAGACACGGACCAGACUCCUACGGGAGGCAGCAGUGAGGAAUAUUGGACAAUGGGCGCAAGCCUGAUCCAGCCAUGCCGCGUGCAGGAAGACUGCCCUAUGGGUUGUAAACUGCUUUUAUAUCGGACGAACCCCAUUACGUGUAAUGGUUUGACAGUACUAUAUGAAUAAGCACCGGCUAACUCCGUGCCAGCAGCCGCGGUAAUACGGAGGGUGCAAGCGUUAUCCGGAUUCAUUGGGUUUAAAGGGUACGCAGGCUGCGUAGUAAGUCAGUGGUGAAAGCAUGGGGCUCAACCCCGUAACUGCCAUUGAUACUGCUAUGCUUGAAUUUAUUCGACGAGAGAGGAAUGCGACAAGUAGCGGUGAAAUGCAUAGAUAUGUCGCAGAACACCGAUAGCGAAGGCAUCUCUUGAGGGUAUAAUUGACGCUGAGGUACGAAAGCGUGGGUAGCAAACAGGAUUAGAUACCCUGGUAGUCCACGCCGUAAACGAUGUUAACUGGGUUUUUGGGAUUUAUUUCCAGGAGCCUGAGGGAAACCAUUAAGUUAACCACCUGGGGAGUACGUUCGCAAGUAUGAAACUCAAAGGAAUUGACGGGGGCCCGCACAAGCGGAGGAACAUGUGGUUUAAUUCGAUGAUACGCGAGGAACCUUACCCGGGCUUAAAUGUAGAUUGCAUUUUUUAGAGAUAGAAAUUUCCUUCACAGGACUAUCUACAAGGUGCUGCAUGGUUGUCGUCAGCUCGUGCCGUGAGGUGUCGGGUUAAGUCCCAUAACGAGCGCAACCCUUGUCACUAGUUGCCAUCAGGUAAUGCUGGGAACUCUAGUGAGACUGCCAUCGUAAGAUGAGAGGAAGGUGGGGAUGACGUCAAAUCAGCACGGCCCUUACGUCCGGGGCUACACACGUGUUACAAUGGCCGGUACAGAGGGCAGCUACACAGCGAUGUGAUGCUAAUCUUUAAAAACCAGUCGUAGUUCGGAUUGGAGUCUGCAACUCGACUCCAUGAAGCUGGAUUCGCUAGUAAUCGCAUAUCAGCCAUGAUGCGGUGAAUACGUUCCCGGGCCU
rnacentral:rRNA from 1 species